rnacentral:tmRNA from 1 species
CCUGAAACCCCACAACAGUUGUAUUUUUGUGGUGGACGUGGGUAUAAGAUGAUAGGGGCUGGGCUCUCCCUCUUCUUUUUUGCAGCCAUAGUGGCGCUGGCCAGUAAACUAGUAUGGUGAUGGGGGCCUUGGACUAUCUGCGCUUGAUGAAUAUUUCAGUGGAUGAGUUUAGAAGCUUUUGUAUCUAUGGCCACCUCAGUGGGCAGCGUGGAUGGGGUGAGCUGUUGUUGAGCAAUCUUUCAUUUAAAAGAGCAGUGUGCCAUAUACUGAAAAUACAGUGUGAGACUAAGAAGAGGUGGACAAACAAGGUAUUGGUGGCGAAUAGUGCGUUGUCCCUACUGACCCUCUUCAGGAUGGUUCUUCAUGAAUGUGUUUUUUCACACAAAUAUUUUAUACCUGACAGGAUCGAGGACAUGUGUUUCCCGCUGACCAAAAUACUCACUGUGCCCUUCCUCAAGGCCCUAGAUCUGUAUCUCUCCCAGUUUUCCAUCUCAUGCAAGUUUCCCAUAAUUAAAAUAUCCACUGUGAAUCCUACCCUUCUGGCGUUUACCAAGAAGAAAUAUCUGGCUAGUGUUGUGUCUGAUCAACCCAUCGAGGUCCCUGCUCCAUCUGCCCGGCCUGAUCCUGUGAGGUUUACUGCUGCGGUGCCCUUAGCUUCUGAUGAGCAGUCUCUGGUGAAAGCUUUACAUUCCAGUACCGGGACAGUCCAGUGUGGAAAUCCAUUUUAUUAUAUGAUGACCAGACUUUGCUUGUAUGGACUAAUGCAUGGUAGGGGGGGAAUUGUGCCAGUUUCCAGCUCUAGUAAGCAGAGUGUAUAUGAUGUGGCUAUAAGAUUUAUAGGUUCUAGGAUAUUGAGCCCGAUAGUGAGGCUGCCAAUUUUAUCCAGGGCUUUGGCAGACCUGGCGCUGACGGGGCACGGUCAUCAGAUAACAGUGUGUAAUGAAUGUGGCCACUGUUUAAAUUUGGGCAGGGAUAAAUUUCUUGCAGUAAAUUUUUCCCCCACAAGUAUGUUUUAUUGCAGAGAUCAAAAGGAGAAACAGUUUAACAUAUGUGCUACAACUGGGAGGAUCUAUUGUUCAUAUUGUGGGGCGACAGAGUUUACAGUGUAUGACAUGGUGGGAAGGUAUGCUACGGGGGAGCCUUUUAUUAGGGCGGUUUCCUCAGCUAACUCCCUUAGUAUUUUAGAUAAUAGCGAACAGGAGUGUGAUAUACUGAUCCCUUGUUUUGGUAAAUCUAGGUCUUGCAGUAUUAAGCUGAGGGCGACAUUUAGGGAGCUACUUUAUUUGACAGCGUCUGUUGAUAAUUUUAUUUGUCAAAAGUGUUCCAAUAAGGGUGAUGAAUAAAGACAGGGUCAAAGCUCCAGCUUUCCACCCAGAGCUCCAUAACAAGCUUUUGGAAAGGCUUAAGGCUGCCUAUGGAAAGGACAGUAUUGGCAAAGACCCAGAAGAAGCCCCAGUUCCCCUGUUGUUGCAUACCUGUGCAGUUAGAUUCUAUGAAGAGUACAAAGAAUUGACACGUGAUAACACAUUGCCUACAUUGGUAAACAAGAAAGGAUUCCCGGGGGAUGCCAAAAUGAUGGACCCUGUCUUGGGUAUCUAUCACUCUGGAAAAAAACAGGGAGCAUCAAGUGUCCCUUCCUCUUCUGGAGCAUUUGACGGAGGGAGCCACGGUGGCCCUCUACCUUCUGUUGAUCUUCCUCAAAGGGAGGGAGGCCUGUGGUACGGACUGGGCCCUGACAAGUCUGGACUGGGUUUUGUGCUCCCCUCUGAUCCAGGGUCUAUGUCUGACGGGAACAGCUUUAGGGUUAUUCCAGACCCCUCAUCUCUAACAGACAAGGAUGACCAGAACUUGGGGGAAUCGACCAAAACAAGGAGUGGAAAUGGAAAGAAAAAGUAGACCCUUGACCAAAGACUGUUAAAUGUAAAGCUGUUUUAUUCUUUUUAGAGUAGACAGCAUAUAUGAUGAAUGGUCGUGUACACUUUUGAUUAUCUUCUCAAUAAAUAAUAAUACAUUA